GCGAGACCGGGCGGGGCCGCCUGGGGCUCAGCCGGGCCGGAGCGGCGAGAUCCGGCCAUCCUGGCAGGAACCAGCGGCAGGCUGAGGCCUUGCUGUCUGCGGAGGGGAGGAAUGGCCGGCCCUAAGGCAGGCAGGAAGGACAGGAACGGGGAGGAGGUGUAUCCACUUCCAUGGGCAGUAUUCCAAGAUGCUGCUGCAAGGCCAAGACUCAAGGUCCUCCUCGUGAGCCUCUGCAGCUGGCAGAAGGUGAAAUGUUUUGGGGCUUCUAGAAGAAGUGAACUUCCAAAUGAUGCCUGUCUCUCCUGGAGUCUGGAUCAGCCAGAUCCCAGAUACCAUGUGAAGAAGUCCAGAUUUGGGGGACAUAUAUAGCUCAGGGGCAGCAUGCUUGCCUAGAAUGAUUGAGACCUCGGGUUUAGUCCCCAGCACCACCACCCCCAGAAGUCCAGACUGAAGACAGCACAUGGAAAGGAACUAAGGCACCUUUGCUGACAGCCAGAAUCAAGUGCUAUCCACAGGAAUGAGCUUCUCAGAAGGGGAUUCUCCUGCCCCAGUCAACACUCAGAAGAUACAGACCUGGCCAACAGCUUGACUGCAGCCUCAUGAGAGGCCCCGAGCCAGAACCACACAGCUAAACUGCUCUUGGAGUCCUGGCCCUCAGAAAU